rnacentral:rRNA from 1 species
AAUUUAUAGUAGAUAAGGCCUGCUCMAUGAAAAUCMUUUUAUAUAGCCGCAAUUYUGUGSUAAGGUAGCAUAAUCAUUUGUUUUUUAAUUAAAAACUAGAAUGAAAGGUCAAACAUUUAAAUUUCUUUAUUAAAAUUAAAAUUUUAAUUUAUAUUAGAUAUAAAAAUAUAUCUAUAAAAAAAAAAGACGACAAGACCCUAUUAAACUUAACUUAUGUUAAACUGGGGCAGUUAAUUAAUAAAAAUUUUAAUGAAUAUUUAUAUAUUAAUAAAAAUCUAAUUAAAUUAAAUUAACCAAGUUACUAUAGGGAUAACAGCGUUAUAUUAUUUUAARGUUCAUAUUUAAAAUAGUGAUUGCGACCYCGAKGUUGAAUUAUAUUUCUUUAUWAACGCAACCGUUCUACAAGUAGGUCKGUUCGACCUUUAAAAUAUUACAUGAYCKGAGUUCAAACMG